rfam:Bombyx mori DNA, contig: Bm_scaf69_contig30698, strain: p50T/Dazao, build 2, whole genome shotgun sequence.
UUAACUCAAAUUUGUACGAAUGUGGAACGUUUGCUUGCGUUUGCCGCUAAGGGCGAUGUUCCAACUGCAUACAAAUUUGAGUUA